GAUGAACGCUGGCGGCGUGCCUAAUACAUGCAAGUCGAGCGAACGGACGAGAAGCUUGCUUCUCUGAUGUUAGCGGCGGACGGGUGAGUAACACGUGGAUAACCUACCUAUAAGACUGGGAUAACUUCGGGAAACCGGAGCUAAUACCGGAUGAUAUUUUGAACCGCAUGGUUCAAAAGUGAAAGACGGUCUUGCUGUCACUUAUAGAUGGAUCCGCGCUGCAUUAUCUAGUUGGUAAGGUAACGGCUUACCAAGGCAACGAUGCAUAGCCGACGUGAGAGGGUGAUCGGCCACACUGGAAGUGAGACACGGACCAGACACCUACGGGAGGCAGCAGUAGGGAAUCUUACGCAAUGGGCGAAAGCCUGACGGAGCAACGCCGCGUGAGUGAUGAAGGUCUUCGGAUCGUAAAACUCUGUUAUUAGGGAAGAACAUAUGUGUAAGUAACUGUGCACAUCUUGACGGUAACUAAUCAGAAAGCCACGGCUAACUACGUG
rnacentral:rRNA from 1 species